rnacentral:rRNA from 1 species
CCUACGGGUGACAGCAGUGGGGAAUAUUGGUCAAUGGGCGACAGCCUGACCCAGCCACGCCGCGUGAAGGAAGAAUGCUUUCGGGUUUUAAACUUCUUUUGACAGGGAAGAGAAGAAGACGGUACCUGUCGAAUAAUCCACGGCUAACGACGUGCCAGCAGCAGCGGUAGUACGUAGGUGGCAAGCGUUGUCCGGAUUUACUGGGUGUAAAGGGCGUGUAGCCGGGCUGACAAGUCAGAUGUGAAAUCCGGGGGCUCAACCCCCGAACUGCAUUUGAAACUGUUGGUCUUGAGUGUCCGAGAGGCAGGCGGAAUUCGUAGUGUAGCGGUGAAAUGCGUAGAUAUUAGGAGGAACACCAGUGGCGAAGGCGGCCUGCUGGACGACAACUGACGGUGAGGCGCGAAAGCGUGGGGAGCAAACAGGAUUAGAUACCAGGGUAGUC